rnacentral:rRNA from 1 species
UAUGCCGAGCCGAUUGUGGUGAAGUGGAUGAUCCUAUGCUGCCGAGAAAAGCCUCUAGUGAGUGUUGUGGCGGCCCGUACCCUAAACCGACUCAGGUGGUCAGGUAGAGAAUACCAAGGCGAUCGGGUGAACUGUGGUUAAGGAACUCGGCAAAUUGCCCCCGUAACUUCGGGAGAAGGGGGACCUCUGCUGGUGAUGGGCUUUACGUUCUGAGCUGGUGGGGGUCGCAGUGGCCAGGGGGAAGCGACUGUUUACUAAAAACACAGGUCCGUGCGAAGUCGUAAGACGAUGUAUACGGACUGACGCCUGCCCGGUGCCGGAACGUUAAGGGGACCGCUUAGCCAACGCGAGUUGGCGAAGGUGAGAACUUAAGCGCCGGUAAACGGCGGUGGUAACUAUAACCAUCCUAAGGUAGCGAAAUUCCUUGUCGGGUAAGUUCCGACCUGCACGAAUGGCGUAACGACUUCCCCGCUGUCUCAACCACAGACCCGGCGAAAUUGCACUACGAGUAAAGAUGCUCGUUUCGCGCAGCAGGACGGAAAGACCCCGGGACCUUCACUACAGCUUGACAUUGGCGUUUGGAACGUCUUGUGUAGGAUAGGUGGGAGACUGGGAAGCUGUCACGCUAGUGAUGGUGGAGUCAUUGGUGAAAUACCACUCUGGUCGUUUUGAACGUCUAACUCUGGUCCGUGAUCCGGAUCGGGGACAGUGUCUGGUGGGUAGUUUAACUGGGGCGGUUGCCUCCUAAAGAGUAACGGAGGCGCCCAAAGGUUCCCUCAGCCUGGUUGGCAAUCAGGUGUUGAGUGUAAGUGCACAAGGGAGCUUGACUGUGAGACUGACAGGUCGAGCAGGAGCGAAAGCUGGGACUAGUGAUCCGGCAUCGGCGUGUGGAAGCGGUGUCGCUCAACGGCUAAAAGGUACCCCGGGGAUAACAGGCUGAUCUUCCCCAAGAGUCCAUAUCGACGGGAUGGUUUGGCACCUCGAUGUCGGCUCGUCGCAUCCUGGGGCUGGAGUAGUCCCAAGGGUUGGGCUGUUCGCCCAUUAAAGCGGUACGCGAGCUGGGUUUAGAACGUCGCGAGACAGUUCGGUCCCUAUCCGCUGCGCGCGCAGGAGACUUGAAGGGGGCUGUCCCUAGUACGAGAGGACCGGGACGGACGAACCUCUGGUGUGCCAGUUGUACCGCCAGGUGCACGGCUGGUUGGCUACGUUCGGAAGGGAUAACCGCUGAAAGCAUCUAAGCGGGAAGCUCGCCUUGAGAUGAGGUCUCCCACCCCGUGAGGGGGUAAGGCUCCCGGUAGAUCACCGGGUUGAUAGGCCGGAGGUGGAAGCACGGUAACGUGUGGAGCUGACCGGUACUAAUAGGCCGAGGACUUGACCUA